UGGGGAAUCUUGGACAAUGGGCGCAAGCCUGAUCCAGCCAUGCCGCGUGAGUGAUGAAGGCCUUAGGGUCGUAAAGCUCUUUCGCCAGAGAUGAUAAUGACAGUAUAUGGUAAAGAAACCCCGGCUAACUCCGUGCCAGCAGCCGCGGUAAUACGGAGGGGGUUAGCGUUGUUCGGAAUUACUGGGCGUAAAGCGCACGUAGGCGGAUCAGAAAGUAUAGGGUGAAAUCCCAGGGCUCAACCCUGGAACUGCCUUGUAAACUCCUGGUCUUGAGUUCGAGAGAGGUGAGUGGAAUUCCGAGUGUAGAGGUGAAAUUCGUAGAUAUUCGGAGGAACACCAGUGGCGAAGGCGGCUCCCUGGCUCGAUACUGACGCUGAGGUGCGAAAGUGUGGGGAGCAAACAGGAUUAGAUAC
rnacentral:rRNA from 1 species